AGUGAACGCUGGCGGUAGGCCUAACACAUGCAAGUCGAACGGCAGCACAGUAAGAGCUUGCUCUUACGGGUGGCGAGUGGCGGACGGGUGAGGAAUACAUCGGAAUCUACUUUUUCGUGGGGGAUAACGUAGGGAAACUUACGCUAAUACCGCAUACGACCUACGGGUGAAAGCAGGGGAUCUUCGGACCUUGCGCGAUUGAAUGAGCCGAUGUCGGAUUAGCUAGUUGGCGGGGUAGAGGCCCACCAAGGCGACGAUCCGUAGCUGGUCUGAGAGGAUGAUCAGCCACACUGGAACUGAGACACGGUCCAGACUCCUACGGGAGGCAGCAGUGGGGAAUAUUGAACAAUGGGCGCAAGCCUGAUCCAGCCAUACCGCGUGGGUGAAGAAGGCCUUCGGGUUGUAAAGCCCUUUUGUUGGGAAAGAAAAGCAGCAGGUUAAUACCCCGCUGUUCUGACGGUACCCAAAGAAUAAGCACCGGCUAACUUCGUG
rnacentral:rRNA from 1 species